UGGGGCCGGAAGAGGGAAUUCCUCCUGGCCUUCUUCACCCCAGGAAGAGCUCCUCGUUCUGUUGAUAAUUUGAGGAAUAUUGUGCUCUGUGGCACCUUCCUGUCUAAACACGUUCACAGCCAUUUUGAUGGGCUUCUGGGUGAAGGAGAGAGGCCUCUCCAAACAUUCCCAGGGGGACGGCUCACCCCACCUGGCUCAGGUGCCCACAUGUAGAUAUAGAUUGUGGAGGGUGACAUCCUUCAAUCAGCAAGACUGAAAACGGGACUCAGAACUCUUGUGCUUGGGACAAAGAAUCUGCAAUUGGUUUUUGGAAAGAGCAAAAUGAGGGUGGAUUCAGUUGAGGUUACAGAGUGGGCCUCUCCUGCUUUAAAAAUGCUUACAAGAAGGAUGAAGAGAUAAAAGCUCAUAAACCGAAAAGAAGUCACGUGCAUGGUGGAAUGGUGGAAUCUGUUCAGAAUCACAGAGCUGCACCCUGCACUGUGGAUCAGGGAAGUGUGUGCUCUGAGAUGGAUGUGGUCCUGUGCCUCCAACAUCCUCCCUGCUCCCCACCUCCUGCCCUGGUUGCAGGGGGUGUCUCUGUGCUCAGCCACAGUCCACUCUGAGCCUGUAUAGUUUCUUCCUCAGAAACAUACAAUUUAGGCUGACCUACAGUUUAAUGUGUAAAAGAAGAGAUGGUCGAUGACCAGUGCCCCACUGUAGUAAUAAAAUGUCUAGACAGCAAUUAACACUCAUUUCCCCUAAGAAUGUCACUGCGUCAUCAGAAAAUCUCGACUGCUUUAAAAGGAAGCAGUCUAGGUAUAUUUCAUCAUUAAUCAAUUUCUAAAUCUGAUCAGAAUUUGCACAGGUUGCAGUCGUAGGACCAGACCUGCCCCCACUCCCAGCGCCUCUGGGCCCCUUACCUGGGGUCCGAGCGUCCCUCAUCCUGGCAAACAGGGCUGGAGAUUUGUUUGGGAAUGAGGGGUCCGGGCGUCCCUCAUCCUGGCAAACAGGGCUGGAUAUUUGUUUGGGAAUGGGGGGUCUGGGCGUCCCUUAUUCUGGCAAACAGGGCUGGAGAUUUGUUUGGGAAUGCUGCCUGUUUGAAGGAGGCACUGCUUUCGGUUUCUCUGUUUGCUUUCUGUUCAACUGCUAAUCCUUUUGUACUUGGAGCUAGAAGCCAAGCCUGGGACCAGCUGGCAGGUGGUUUAUCAGGACCACCUGAGUGCCCUGUCC
rnacentral:lncRNA from 1 species